rnacentral:rRNA from 1 species
GUUUGAUCAUGGCUCAGAUUGAACGCUGGCGGCAGGCCUAACACAUGCAAGUCGAGCGGUAGAGAGAAGCUUGCUUCUCUUGAGAGCGGCGGACGGGUGAGUAAUGCCUAGGAAUCUGCCUGGUAGUGGGGGAUAACGCUCGGAAACGGACGCUAAUACCGCAUACGUCCUACGGGAGAAAGCAGGGGACCUUCGGGCCUUGCGCUAUCAGAUGAGCCUAGGUCGGAUUAGCUAGUUGGUGAGGUAAUGGCCCACCAAGGCGACGAUCCGUAACUGGUCUGAGAGGAUGAUCAGUCACACUGGAACUGAGACACGGUCCAGACUCCUACGGGAGGCAGCAGUGGGGAAUAUUGGACAAUGGGCGAAAGCCUGAUCCAGCCAUGUCGCGUGUGUGAAGAAGGUCUUCGGAUUGUAAAGCACUUUAAGUUGGGAGGAAGGGCAGUAAAUUAAUACUUUGCUGUUUUGACGUUACCGACAGAAUAAGCACCGGCUAACUCUGUGCCAGCAG